CGCGUAGGCGGCGCGGUAAGUCACCUGUGAAAUCUCCAGGCUUAACUUGGAGCCUGCAGGCGAAACUGCCGUGCUCGAGUGUGGGAGAGGUGCGUGGAAUUCUCGGUGUAGCGGUGAAAUGCGUAGAUAUCGGGAGGAACACCUGUGGCGAAAGCGGCGCACUGGACCACAACUGACGCUGAGGCGCGAAAGCUAGGGGAGCAAACAGGAUUAGAUACCUUGGUAGUCCUAGCCCUAAACGAUGAUUGCUUGGUGUAGCCGGUACCCAAUCCGGCUGUGCCGCAGCUAACGCGAUAAGCAAUCCGCCUGGGGAGUACGGUCGCAAGGCUAGAA
rnacentral:rRNA from 1 species